rfam:TPA: Bos taurus chromosome 16, whole genome shotgun sequence.
UGUUCCAUGGUGUAAUGGUUAGCACUCUGGACUCUGAAUCCAGCGAUCUGAGUUCAAAUCUCAAUGGAACCU